rnacentral:rRNA from 1 species
GACGAACGCUGGCGGCGUGCUUAACACAUGCAAGUCGAACGAUGAACCGAGAGCUUGCUCUUGGGGAUUAGUGGCGAACGGGUGAGUAACACGUGAGUAACCUGCCCUGGACUCUGGGAUAACCCCGAGAAAUCGGAGCUAAUACCGGAUAGGACCCUGUACCGCAUGGGGUGGGGUGGAAAGUUUUUUCGGUUUGGGAUGGACUCGCGGCCUAUCAGCUUGUUGGUGAGGUAAUGGCUCACCAAGGCGUCGACGGGUAGCCGGCCUGAGAGGGUGACCGGCCACACUGGGACUGAGACACGGCCCAGACUCCUACGGGAGGCAGCAGUGGGGAAUAUUGCACAAUGGGCGCAAGCCUGAUGCAGCAACGCCGCGUGCGGGAUGACGGCCUUCGGGUUGUAAACCGCUUUUAGUAAGGAAGAAGGGGAGCUUGCUCCUUGACGGUACUUGCAGAAAAAGGACCGGCUAACUACGUGCCAGCCGCCGCCGUAAGAC